UCAAAAUCUGGUUUGCUAUCUUCAUCGUCUUCCUCCCCUAUUUUGAUUCUCUUUGCAAGCACCACUCCACCUAAACUAAAGGAUCAGUACCACUACGAUAGACCACCCUGAUAAGAAUAAUUUUAGAAGCUGGAGGUGUCGAUGUUGUUGAAGAGCCUUGGGGAGUCAGUUACCAGAGUUGUGAUUCAUCAAAGCUAGUAGUAGGAGGUGGAUCCCUAGAAGCAUGAGGUGGAGACCUAGAACCAGGAGGUGGCAGUCCAUAUCAAAACAUAGAGGAAGCUGAUGGUGUUGGCAUCCAAUUCUACUCUCUGUUGUGCUUAUCUAGAAUUAAAAUCUGACCUCUUUGCCAUACACUAUGAAUAUCCAGGUACUGAACAUGAAGUUUAAUUUUCCCUUUUGAAGAGCUUUGUGAUUGAUGUGAAGGAAGUGUGAGACUUGUCUUGUUUAGUUUCCUAGAAUAAGAGCAAAGGCUGCCAGUUUGUGGUUUGCCUUUGAAGUAUAGGUUUGAAUUUUCUGUGGGAAUAAUGAACUAUCACGAAAGUGUGUACUGUAAUCUAUAUAAUUAUGUUUGCUGCAUUAUAAAUUUCUUCUUUUU
rnacentral:lncRNA from 1 species